CCUACGGGAUGCUGCAGUGAGGAAUAUUGGUCAAUGGACGGAAGUCUGAACCAGCCAUGCCGCGUGCAGGAAGACGGCUCUAUGAGUUGUAAACUGCUUUUGUACAAGGGUAAACCUGAAUACGUGUAUUCAGCUGAAUGUACUGUACGAAUAAGGAUCGGCUAACUCCGCGCCAGCAGCCGCGGUAAUACGGAGGAUCCAAGCGUUAUCCGGAUUUAUUGGGGUUAAAGGGUGCGUAGGCGGAUGUAUAAGUUAGAGGUGAAAUGUCCGAGCUUAACUCGGGAAUUGCUUCUCAUACUGUUGAGCUAGAGAGUAGAUGCGGUAGGCGGAAGGUAAGGUGUAGCGGUGAAAUGCGUAGAGAU
rnacentral:rRNA from 1 species